GUUGGGAUGAGAGACAUGGCUUGUGAUGCCGAGUUCCGUAAGAAACUCUUUCUCCUUGUUCAUGUCGCCACUCUCUUUUGUUAAUCUCUUCACCGCGAUUCUCCUUCCAUCCCAUAGAUCUCCUCUGUACACUUCAGAGGAGACAUUGGUCUAUGUUUGGGUUUGUCUGAAGGCAAAGCGAAUCUAGAAGAAACCACUGAACUGCUGAAACUUGAAGCAUCAUCGCCUGAGGAGCUUGUAAGAUCUCUUGAUAGAAUGCUUAGUACGCUGCGCGGUGAAUACUUCUCACUCUUUAUGUCUGAGAAUAACAUAGUUGUUAGUCUUUGCAUCCUCUGAAUAAAUUUUAGUACCAAACAUAAACGAGAUAUUAUUGCGGGCUAACCUCGAGAAA